CCUCUCCUUCCUCUGCCAGUACCAACCAGUCUUCCGUAUCACUAUGUAUUGCAAGAGUCUCACAAGAAGAUAUCCAUCACUGACUGAUCUUCCUCCCGUUUAACAUCCCCAACAGGUAAAUAAAUCAUGGAGUCACCACGAGGGCGUUCAUCUGCCAGGCACUAUUCUGAACGAUAUUGGCUCAUUAAAUUCUCACAGAAACCCUAUGCAGCAGGGCCCUUGUGACUGGACCUCAUGCCAAACAACUCGUUACAAAAAGAGCUAGGGUUCCAGACUGCGCCGAAGCUUCAUGAGACCUCUCCUUGUCUGCAUGGACGAGUGGCCAACUCUGGAGCCCAGGCUGUUGCUUCCCAGUCUGGUGGUGAAUCCUCCAUAGUCUGCAAAGAAGAUGAGAAAGAAAGGCGAAAACUACAUUCAGCAACCAGCAUAGCUGGACAACCGUAACUCAAAAGCCCCUUGGUCCUCCUUAGGCUGGGGCUGAAGGUUGUUUGCAAAUUGAUAAUCAACCCAGCCAUACCUGGCAGCUUUCCAUUUCUUCCUGAAGUCACUGAGGCACUGAGGAAGACAAUCUGGCCCCAAUGAUCAUUAAUUGCCUGAAUUCUAAUUCCUUGCUACUCAAAGUGUGCUCUGUGGCCGGUCAGCAUCAGCAUCAGGUGGAAGCUUAUUAGAAAUGCCCACCCAAGGACUCUUCUCAGAAGGCUUCAGAGUUGGCAGUGACCCAUGUGGCCCCUCCUGCUUGUCCCAGCCACUGGUCCCUGGAUCAAGCUAGACACAUGUCCCAAAUUGGGCCAACUUGGAAUGGGGCCUCAACCUAAAGCAGCAACUUACUCCCUGCUCGGAGGCCUAGUGGACUCAGGGGACUGUGGAGAAGCAGAAGGCAGAGGUGUGAGGGGAAAGAAAGCGGAUGUGCACAGAGAAGCAGAGACCAAAGAGCUUUUGGGCCUGGGAUACACAGAACAGUGACCCCGGCUCCCUCUGGCAGGUCCUGCAGCUCCUAAUCCAGACCCAGAGCACGGCCCCUAACCCUGGAUCCCCUGAGACUCACCUGCUCCUUCCCACAGAUGCCCCUUAAGGUUUCACUAGUAAGAGUGGAUUUCCAGCUGUCUAUUUCCUUCCUUCCUUUCUUUCCUUCUUUUCUAUUUAUUGAGGUGAAGUUAACAUAAACUUAACCAUUUUAAAGUGGACAA
rnacentral:lncRNA from 1 species